rnacentral:rRNA from 1 species
UGGGGAAUUUUCCGCAAUGGGCGAAAGCCUGACGGAGCAAUGCCGCGUGGAGGUGGAAGGCCUACGGGUCGUCAACUUCUUUUCUCGGAGAAGAAACAAUGACGGUAUCUGAGGAAUAAGCAUCGGCUAACUCUGUGCCAGCAGCCGCGGUAAGACAGAGGAUGCAAGCGUUAUCCGGAAUGAUUGGGCGUAAAGCGUCUGUAGGUGGCUUUUCAAGUCCGCCGUCAAAUCCCAGGGCUCAACCCUGGACAGGCGGUGGAAACUACCAAGCUGGAGUACGGUAGGGGCAGAGGGAAUUUCCGGUGGAGCGGUGAAAUGCAUUGAGAUCGGAAAGAACACAACGGCGAAAGCACUCUGCUGGGCCGACACUGACACUGAGAGACGAAAGCUAGGGGAGCAAAUGGGAUUAGAGACCCCAGUAGUCCUAGCCGUAAACGAUGGAUACUAGGUGCUGUGCGACUCGACCCGUGC